UACAGAGGUCUCAAGCGUUGUUCGGAUUCAUUGGGCGUAAAGGGUGCGUAGGUGGCGCGGUAAGUCGGGUGUGAAAUUUCGGAGCUUAACUCCGAAACUGCAUUCGAUACUGCCGUGCUUGAGGACUGGAGAGGAGACUGGAAUUUACGGUGUAGCAGUGAAAUGCGUAGAGAUCGUAAGGAAGACCAGUGGCGAAGGCGGGUCUCUGGACAGUUCCUGACACUGGAGGCACGAAGGCCAGGGGAGCAAAACGGG
rnacentral:rRNA from 1 species